CUCCAUAUGCUGUGGGUGUGGCCCAAAAAGACAAAAAAAUGAACAAAUACUGUGCCCAGAGCUUGGUAUUCCCAAGUCUUCUGUAACUGUGUUGGGAUAUCAAGGGUAGGCAGAAUUUGGUAGAAAAAAUUCUGUUAGAUAAGCCUUAGAUAAAUGCACAAAUUCAUUCACUGAAACUUGAGGUCGCCUUUUUUUAUUCCUACUCUUUGUCUUGGUAACGUUUAUAGACAUCAGGUUUCAGGAAUGCCAAGAGUUCCUGAAAUGUCCUGGCACAUCCUGAGACUGGAUGAGCAGUCGCGUCUGAAUCAGCAGAUACGGGCAGAGGAUAGGGAGUGGCCUUGGACCCCAGCCUGGUGCACACAGUGGAUGCCCGUACAAGUUUCAAAGACACGGUGAAAUGGUCCAAGUCCUCUUCCAGGAGAAGCCUCGAAAGUGAUACCAAGAGCGUAACAAGAUUGCCCCCAGGUUUGCCCUCUCCUCGUCAUCCAGAAGGAUUCAAGCAGGCGGAGCAGCAGCCUGAGGAAAAGGCCUGGAACCUCUAAGAGCUGCGUCCAGGUUGAAGCAGCCUUGAACUUGAGCAGUUCUGCUGACUUUCUGCACCGGGGAAGGUCAGCCUGGGGCCAAGGAUUAAUCCUCCUCAGGUGCUCUGGCCGAGGCGCGAGCUGGAAGCAGGUACAACGAAGGCCAGGUUUGCGCUCAAGGAGAAGAGAGACACUUUGAAGUGCCUGCUCUGGGCAGCGAAGCAAAUUUAUGUCAUGUCCUCCUUACUGGCUGCUGGAAACUGUACACAGGCCAGUUCGUAAAGGUGCCAAAUUCACCCUCACGUGGUUGAAUUCAGCUGCUGAGAUGGUGUGUUGUGUUGUUUUGUUUUUUUAGGGCCACACCCGUGGCAUAUGGAAGUUCCCAGACUAGGGGUUGAAUUGGAGCUG